CCUACGGGUGGCAGCAGUGGGGAAUAUUGCUCAAUGGGCGCGAGCCUGAACCAGCCAAGUAGCGUGGAGGAUGACUGCCCUACGGGUUGUAAACUUCUUUUAUAAAGGAAUAAGGUGAGGCACGUGGGCCUUUUUGUAUGUACUUUAUGAAUAAGGAUCGGCUAACUCCGUGCCAGCAGCCGCGGUAAUACGGAGGGUCCGAGCGUUAUCCGGAUUUACUGGGUUUAAAGGGAGCGUAGAUGGAUGGUUAAGGCAGUUGUGAAAGUUUGCGGCUCAACCGUAAAAUUGCAAUUGAUACUGGGAGUCUUGAGUACAGUUGAGGCAGGCGGAAUUCGUGGUGUAGCGGUGAAAUGCUUAGAUAUCACGAAGAACUCCGAUUGCGAAGGCAGCUUACUAAACUGCCACUGACAUUGAUGCCCGAAAGUGUGGGUAGCAAACAGGAUUAGAUACCCUGGUAGUC
rnacentral:rRNA from 1 species